rnacentral:lncRNA from 10 species
GUCUAUCACCGCUUCCUGGGAGGAGUGAAGGGGGAGUGGGGAGGCGGAGGAGGCGUGGUCUUGGACUGGGGAGAGGCCGCGCUUCCUGACCCGGUCCCUCUGCACCAGCGUGGAGGGGGGAGGGGCGCGCACCCUUUCCGCCCAGGCUUUUGCGGGCUCCUCGGGCCGAACCCGAAGGGGCUGUUCCUGAACCUUGACUUGUUAUCAUAGGGACCCAAGCUCUAUUUUUGUGUGGCCAAUUCGUGCACUGCAGCAAAAUGGCCCUUCAGUCGCGUCUUGGGGUUUCUCCUCGGUUCAAAUGCUCUCGCGCUGAGAAAAAGCCGGAGGAAAAAAAAGCGACACCCUCCCUCCCCCAUUAAUUAUUUGUGGGGCCGGAGUAACGCGGGCUGGUGCAACCGGUGCAUAUAAGGACUUGUGUGCAAGGAAGGGGAUCCGCCUCCAGGCGCGGAAAGAGUAGGGAAGAAGCGCACACGCACAGUGCACCCAGCUGGGCGCUUCGGCAGUUUGCAGCUGCGGCGGGGUCGGGUCCACCCGCGGUCCCCGGAAUGCCGGACGGCUGAUCCCGGGUGCUGGUCACUCGCCGAUUCGGGGCUGGGAAGGUUUGCCAGAAGCGGGAAAGAUGGGAGAUCUGAGCGCUCUCUUGGCAUCGCCACACCCAGGACUUGCUCGUGCCGCAAUUCCCCACGGAAACAACCGAGUUGAAACGAGAAGCUUGCUCUCUGGGUGCAGUAGCUAGAAGGCUUCAGGUAACUCCAAAGCCAACACUGGGUGAGGCAACACACGCCGCCUCAGGACUCAGCAUUUCUUUCAGGCUGCGUUUUCGUGGCAGACCUACCCAGAUUGAUGGAGAAAGUUUGGCUGGCGGAUAAGAAGUAACGCGGAAGAUGUAUUAUUGUGGCUGUCACUCAGGUUUUCUGCUCAUUGGUAGACAAAGGGUGAGGAGGUGACUGAAAUUGGAACAGUGGAAGGACCCUUCACCAAAACCUGGAACUUCAGAAGAAUGGCAGGGCUGAAAAUGAUUAGUGUUAAUUCAUUCCAGUUGUGUUACCCUACCCAUAAGACUGCCUGAAGGAGCCUGAACUUCCACGUGCUGUCUUCCAUAUAAUGUGAUCUGAGGUGAAGAGCAUGGUCCCUGGAGUUGAACUGCCUGAAGUAAAUCCCAAAAUAGAAAAAUAAAAAUAAAACAGUGGUUUUAUUGUUUUUAUUUCUUGUUUCUCAUUGAUAGGUAGAUAGAGAGUUUUCUUUAAAAGCCUAGUGCUUUUGGGAUAAUAAUGGCAAGUGAUUACAUCUCUUUUGUAUUAAAUAGGUUUGGAGAAAUUUUCUUAAUUAUCUGGUACUAUUUAAACUCAAAGGCAAACACAACACUCUAUCUAAAAUACCAGUAUUACACUUUCCCUAAAUGCAGAAAACUAUUUUUACUAAAAAUUUGGCAAGCACUUUCAAAACAGCAUUUUUCUGUUUUCAUUCCUUGAGAAUUUCCUAACAAGUAUGC